rnacentral:misc_RNA from 1 species
GAUGAAGAACGUAGCGAAAUGCGAUAAGUAAUGUGAAUUGCAGAAUUCAGUGAAUCAUCGAAUCUUUGAACGCACAUUGCGCCCGCCAGCAUUCUGGCGGGCAUCCCUGUUCGAGCGUCAUUUCAACCCUCGAGCCCCCCCGGGGGCCUCGGUGUUGGGGGACGGCACACCAGCCGCCCCCGAAAUGCAGUGGCGACCUCGCCGCAGCCUCCCCUGCGUAGUAGCACACACCUCGCACCGGAGCGCGGAGACGGUCACGCCGUAAAACGCCCAACUUCUUAGAGUUGACCUCGGAUCAGGUAGGAAUACCCGCUGAACUUAAGCAUAUCAAUAAGCGGAGGA